AGUGAACGCUGGCGGCAGGCCUAAUACAUGCAAGUCGAACGGCAGCACAGCAGAGCUUGCUCUGUGGGUGGCGAGUGGCGGACGGGUGAGGAAUACGUGGGAAUCUGCCCAGUCGUGGGGGAUAACGUAGGGAAACUUACGCUAAUACCGCAUGCGCCCUUCGGGGAAAGCCGGGGACCUUCGGGCCUGGCGCGAUUGGAUGAGCCCACGUCGGAUUAGCUAGUUGGCGGGGUAAAGGCCCACCAAGGCGACGAUCCGUAGCUGGUCUGAGAGGAUGAUCAGCCACACUGGAACUGAGACACGGUCCAGACUCCUACGGGAGGCAGCAGUAGGGAAUAUUGGACAAUGGGCGCAAAGCCUGAUCCAGCCAUGCCGCGUGAGUGAAGAAGGCCC
rnacentral:rRNA from 1 species